rnacentral:rRNA from 1 species
AUUGAACGCUGGCGGCAUGCCUUACACAUGCAAGUCGAGCGGGAACUUCGGUUCUAGCGACGGACGGGUGAGUAAUGCGUAGGAAGCUACCCGACAGAGGGGGAUACCAGUUGGAAACGACUGUUAAUACCGCAUAAUGUCUACGGACCAAAGUGUGGGACCUUCGGGCCACAUGCUGUCGGAUGCGCCUACGUGGGAUUAGCUAGUUGGUGAGGUAAUGGCUCACCAAGGCGACGAUCCCUAGCUGGUUUGAGAGGAUGAUCAGCCACACUGGAACGGAGACACGGUCCAGACUCCUACGGGAGGCAGCAGUGGGGAAUAUUGGACAAUGGGCGCAAGCCUGAUCCAGCCAUGCCGCGUGUGUGAAGAAGGCCUUCGGGUUGUAAAGCACUUUCAGCGAGGAGGAAGGGGUGUGUGUUAAUAGUACACACCUUUGACGUUACUCGCAGAAGAAGCACCGGCUAACUCUGUGCCAGCCGCCGCGGUAAGAC